UACGGGAGGCAGCAGUGGGGAAUAUUGCACAAUGGGGGGAACCCUGAUGCAGCCAUGCCGCGUGUGUGAAGAAGGCCUUCGGGUUGUAAAGCACUUUCAGCAAGGAGGAAGGCCGUAUGGUGAAUAGCCAUGCGGAUUGACGUUACUUGCAGAAGAAGCACCGGCUAACUCCGUGCCAGCAGCCGCGGUAAU
rnacentral:rRNA from 1 species